CAGUACUGGUACAGUACUGGUACAGUACUGGUACAGUACUGGUACAGUACUGGGCCGAGUCACAUAUAAAGGUUUUAAUCAAUGUGUUUAAUAAACUGUUAUAGGUCCUAGUUAAAAUGAAUAAUUAUCAAAAUUGCAUGCAUAUCUGUAGGUGUUUAUGGUUUGUUUGCUUCGAUACCUGCUUGGUCAUUUUGGCAAAUUAAAUACGUUUGCUUAAUGCUAUUAUUUUAUGAUCAUUUUAUUUUGCAUACUGGCGGCCGCUGUGCCUUCGCAGUGUCAAUGGUGCUCCUAUUGCUUAAGUUAUUGCAUAUUGCUUAUGUUGUAGUUUUUAAGUGUGCUUUUCUCCUUAAUUCACGAAUGAAAGACAUUCAGAAAAAGCUUCAGUAGCACGUUUCGCUCUUAUGACCCGAUAAAGCUUUACAAAGAGGGGAAACGUCCCCUCGCUUUGUAUCGUCUUUUCAUCAUUAUUGUCAACAGGACGUCGUUGUAUCACCGUAUAUAAAUCUGUAAAAGACAUUCAAACAUAUUAUCCCGACAGCCACCAUCUUGAUUCACCUUCGUGAUGACUUGACUCCAGACUCUUGCAUCAUUCAUGUAUUUUAUCUGUUGAGUUUACCGAGGAGAUCUACAAAUACGUGGAUAUUAUUUCAUCUGCCUAUAUCGACGUACCUAUUUUGUAGUCUAUGCUUAACUACCCUUUUGUAUAGUUUAUUAUUAUGGAGAAGCGCUAAAUCCGUAGGAUAAUACAGCGCCUGUGGGGGGAGGGGAUGGAAGGUACUCAGGCUUAAUUUAAGGAUUAUUAUUAUUAUAAUCAAAAAGAAGCGCUAAGCCACAAGGGCUAUACAGCUUAAGGAACUGGAGCACAGAUCCAAUUCCCUAGAUCAAGAGCCCCCUCGCCAGCAUCAAGGAACCUCCCUUGAGGGGAUAAUUAGUUACCUAUUUUGCUGGUUGCGACUAUUGAACAAUUGCGAUUUUUAUUACACCUUUUGUCCUAUCAUCAUUAAAUCGGUUUUCAGUUUACUAUUAAAAAUACUAACUUGAUUUGCUGUAUUAGCUUCGUAACAAAUUAUUAUUAUUAUUAUAAUCAAGAGGGAAGCGCUAAACCCGAGGAUAUACAAUCCACAGCUAGCAUCGUAACAAAAUAACUAUGAAAAGGUAAACAGAAGUGUAGGACGUGUCUACCUGUAUAUACCUUCCCAAUUUAGAAGUCUUAUUCAAGCUUUUUAAUCAGUUUUGGCUAUUAUAAUAUUACACAACAAGGUUUAUCACAGCAAAAUACAACUUUCUGUAUACAAUUUUUACAAUAGAUUAUAUUAUAGGUAAUACUCUAUUAUUUGCUUCGUGUACUUUAUGCAUUAACUUUCACUAAUGUGCUUUAAUUUCUUUACAUUUAAAUUAUUAUAAUAAAAAACGCUAAACCUACAAGGGUCAUACAGCGCCGUCUUUAGAUUUAAAGGCAUGCUAUUUUUUUGCUCUAGGAACUGCACGUGUUAUUUCAGGACUGGUAGACACACCUGGAGUUAUCAGUCUUAUAUUUUCAACUGCUUCUAUAAUAUAUCUUUUGUUCUUUAUGCCAUUGUUUUAGUAGUAAUAUAAUAAUUUGUUGUACGUGGUCUUGUUAGUUUUCUGUGGAAUAUUACAUUCAUUUGUUCUCAAUUCAUAGUUAAAAAUGCCUUAUUUAUCUGUCAAAUCUGUCACUUGAGUUGUUUAUUGCAACAUUUAUCCUGCUGUAUAUUUUAAUAUAUGCAGAACUACCAUUGUGAAAAAGUAGUGAAUUUUGCAACACUUACGAGAUUUCUCACAUUAUCAAGAAACUUGAUGUGAUUAUAUAAUCAUUAAUAACAAUUUUAAGUUUCCUGUGGACUUAAAAGUUUGAAUUAAGAAUGAAUUUACUUGUUUGGAAACAUCUAUACACAUUGAUAAACAUUAUAUAGCUAAUCAAAAUAUUCUCUCAAGUUGAAGUGACAACAGUGUCGAGUGAAGGAUUAUUUAUUGCAUAAGAAUCUCAUGUUAAUAGCAAAUGCCUUAACCAAUGACAAUAAAUAACAAAAAGGCACAAUACCGUGACUGGAACGAUACACAAAUAACCCGCACAUAAAAGACAGAAGCUUACGACGACGUUUCGGUCCGACUUGGACCAUUGACAACUAAUACUACUACUACUACUACCUCCACCUCUUCCUGCCUAUAUAUAGCCGUCCUGCUCCACCUCUGUUAGUGUGACUUUGUCAAUGGUCCAAGUCGGACCGAAACGUCGUCGUAAGCUUCUGUCUUUUAUGUGCGGGUUAUUUGUGUACCAAUGACAAUGUUUUGCAUACAAAAGAAAUGAAAGAUUUGUUGUAAAUAUUCAUCACGCUUUUGGUUUUAUAUUAAAAUUCUCGACUUAAAUUUUUGGCAACAAGAUAUCCAUUGUAUAAGGUAGGACAAUGACAAAAUUGUGUUUAUUAGUAAAAACUGUUUGGCCAACGCCUUGUACAAAUAUGAUGGAAAUGAUGGUACUGUUUCACAUGCGAAACUAGUUCUAUAAGUUGACUACGUAACUCAUGAAAUCGUAUUGACACGAUUGCAAACAAGCCAUACCCCGGGUGGGGUUAGAACCCGCGAUCAGAGAAUCGCGAAACUAGACGAACGCUGGUCCAAUGGCUAACGCGUCGGUCUGGAGUUUUGUGACUGUGAUCGCGGGUUCUAACCCCACCCGUGAUAUGGUUUGAUUCUAUAAGCUCCUUGUUUUAAGGUGGCUCUGAUAUAUAUUACACUAGGCCACUCUGAAGGCCUUUGCUCUGCUCUUAAAGCUUUACUAAUCAAAAUCCGACUCCGUAAUACCACAGAAAGCAGCGAUAUUUUCUAAAUCCUGUCUUCCAUUAGCUUAAGUAAACUACACAAACUGUUUAGGAAUUUCUGCUUAUAUUAAAGAAUUUUCCUAAGUAAUUUAACUAUAAUUUAUAGUUUUCUAGCAUUCCAUACAUCACAAUUUGCAAGCUGUGAUGUUGCAUGUUUUUUUGGGUGGAUUUAAUAGUUAUUAAACUUCCUUAAGAUGUUGACAGAAUGGUGCUUUUAUAUAUAGUAAGUUCUUAUAAAGCUUAUAUAUAGUGUGAUUUUUUUGUGAGAAGAUGAUUGCAAUAGUGAAUCAAGAUUGAAUAACGCGCAUUAAGAAAGCCUUUCCACGCACUGUUCAAUUUUGGUUACACUUUUACCAGUCAUAUUUACCACAAAAAAGUAAAUUAUAUGGAGGAGUCUUAUAAGAUUUUGAUGCUUUUAGGGUCAGCCUUCAAAAUGUAUUAAUUACCAGGGUUGUAUUAUGUAUGUUGCAUGUAUGUUUACGUAUUAUUUCAUUAUGUAGUGACUAUGAAUACAUGUCUAGAUUAUCUUCUGUAUGUGAGUGCCUUAAAGUCUAAAUCAGGAAUAUAAUCACGGGUAUACACAGAAGUAUAUCUCUCAGUGUAUAUACCUCUGAGAGAUUAGUAAAAGAUACAAUAGGGAUUAAAGUGUUGUUGAUGUCCGUGUUCAGGUGAACUACAAACUUUAAUUGACCCAUGUUCACCCAGACUCUGAACUUGACUAAUAUCACUUGGCAGAGUCAAGUAUUAUAAUCAGAAUUAAGCGCUAAACCCACCAGGAUCAUACAGAGCUGGAGGCAGAGUUGACUGCCACCAAUGUACAAAUUAAUGUGGUUGUAAUUAAAACCUUCAUUUUUAAAGGAGUAGAGGGGUAAGCCAGUGGAAGGCCUCGGUCAGAUGAUCAAAAGCUCCAGCUACGGGUCAUCAUAUGACUAAGACCCGCAUCAGGAAACACUUGUCCUGUUUCCUAACUUAACCUGACCUGCCACCAAGUGUUCCACAGUAUUUCAGUCUCAAUUUCUUACAUUCACGAUGGAGCAGUAAACUCGUAAGGGUCAUAAAUCACCUGGUGGGGGUAAAUGGGAGGCAAUCACAUUCGAUCCAAAGGGAAAAUAGUUCCAGUUCUUUGGAUCAAGAGCCCUUCACUUGCACAAAGACACCAACUUGAAAGAAAUAAUUUCCUACGCAUUGCAUAUCUGUAUUAUUAAAACAACCAAAUGCUAAACCCACAAGGGAUCGCAUUUCUGUAGCCAUAGUUUAAUUUAUAUAAAGAUUUAGACUUUGACCCCUAAUUACACGAUUAUAGUUUCGAUAUUUAAUCAUAGAAUACCUUACCUUCUUCCUCCAUUUUUUACAAACUUUUCCAUCAGUGUUAAAACAAACUUGGUUUAACUUUUCAAAAUCAAGUUCCAUAAUAUUGUAAAUUUUAGGUUAAAAAUUUAUAUUAUGUUUUAGUUCCCGUGUUUGUACUUUUGUACAAAAGUUCCUUUGUUAGUUUUAUUUUGGUUUUGUUGGAGCCUCUAAGUUAGGCUUAUAUAUUUUUUGUUUCAGUUACGUAUUUUGUGUUAUUAUUUGCAAUAAUUUUGUUACGUUUAAUUUUAUUUUUUGUUCUGUACAACUUGUUUCAAAAAACAGUUUCACAUAUAAAAAACUAAAAAAAAUAAAGUAUAAAUAAAUUAGAAGGAACUAGAAGUGCCUAAUUACCAACUAUAAAACCGAAAACUUGUAUUUUCAUCAAAAUUUUGGAUAUAAAAUGUCAGUAUUGGCUCAUAAAUAAAAAUAAAUUUAGAAGCUUUCACUAGGCAUGUAUUGGCUUGUGCAAAAUAUUUCUAAUAAAAUUAAUUAUGUCA